AGACACAAGGCAGGGAAGUGUCAGGCCUGAGGGCUGAGCCCCUGCUGAGGGAGAAGGAGGCUCGGGGCACGUGGGAGAAGUGCUGGGAAGGGCUGAGUGGUGGGGGCCGCAGAAAGUUCCAGUGGGCAACACUGUCGGCAGGUCAUGGGUGGGACUCACGGGGACCUCGCUGCUAACUCUUGUUGCGUUGGCAGAGUGGGGUGGGGGGAAGGGAGGAUCGUUAGUGCUGCCACCUGGAGUGAGAGCCACCCCUUGGUUCCUGAGGGCACCAUCAAGGGACACAGGACAGGAAGCCCAGGAUGGUGCUCCGUGGUGCUCUUGCUGCCAGCAAAGGUGGUCCGGAUCCCUUUGCCCAUCUCCCCUGUGACCGACAGCAGUUCCCUGUGGGUGCUCUGGGAGCCCUGGGCGCCAGGUGGUUUCAUGGCCUGCAUGCAGCCGAUGGAGGCGGUCCAAAGUCGUUAAAUAGCAGUUUGAAAGGGACAGCAGCUUCUGGCACCGAGCCCGACGGCGACAGGACGCUUCCUGUAGGGACCGGGGUG
rnacentral:lncRNA from 1 species